GGGAAUGAGAAGACAGCUGUAAAUCAUGUCCGGCCUGCUGAUGACAUUCUCCUCUCUUAGCUAAAGGACUGAGGAUGGCUUUUCUGUGCCAGCCUGGGCCUGCUGAGCUGACCGUGUUUGAAGGGCCAGUCGUGGGCUAAGCUAGGCAAGCUGAGAUCAGUCCUGCAGGAACCUGAGGUCAUCACAGGAUGUGAAGACAGAGGUCAGGAGCCUGUGGGACCAGGAAUGAGCGAGGAGAUCGAAAUGACCUUGAUAGCUACAAGUGGAGAUGGAUCUUUGAGCUAUCAGAUGGAAGGCUGUCUCGCAGACCCAUGCUGGAUUUUACAUAAAUAAGAAAUGUAAGUGUAACUUUGUGGUGCUAAGUCACUGAGCUUUUUGGGUUUGUUUGUUAUU
rnacentral:lncRNA from 1 species